AUACGGAGGGUGCGAGCGUUAAUCAGAAUUACUGGGCGUAAAGCGUACGUAGGCGGUUGGUUAAGUUAGAUGUGAAAGCCCCGGGCUUAACCUGGGAACUGCAUUUAAAACUGGCGAACUAGAGUUGAGUAGAGGGGAGUGGAAUUUCAGGUGUAGCGGUGAAAUGCGUAGAGAUCUGAAGGAACACCAGUGGCGAAGGCGACUCCCUGGACUCGAACUGACGCUGAGGUACGAAAGCGUGGGUAGCAAACGGGAUUAGAAACCCUUGUAGUCC
rnacentral:rRNA from 1 species